rnacentral:sRNA from 1 species
UCUCGAUAGAACUAUGCAUAUUAUCGA